CACCACUCAAGCCUCGCUUGGUAUUGGGCGACGCGGUCCGCCGCGCGCCUCAAAUCGACCGGCUGGGUCUUCUGUCCCCUCAGCGUUGUGGAAACUAUUCGCUAAAGGGUGCCACGGGAGGCCACGCCGUGAAAACAAACCACUUUCAAA
rnacentral:misc_RNA from 1 species